GAUUCGACCUACAAGUACUUUGAGGUUAUCUUGGUUGAUGUUGCUCACAAUGCUAUCAGGAAUGACCCAAGAAUCAACUGGCUUUGCAACCCUGUUCACAAGCACAGAGAGCUUCGUGGUCUUACUUCUGCUGGAAAGAAAUACAGGGGUCUUCGUGGAAAGGGACAUCUGUACCACAAGAACCGACCUUCUCGCAGAGCAACCUGGAAGAGAAACACCACCCUUUCACUCCGUCGUUACCGUUGAUUUCGGUCAUGUUGCCUUAUGCUUGGUUGUUAUGUGCGUACCUUCAGGAAGACGAUAUAUGUUAUGCGUUUGAAAUUUUG
rnacentral:lncRNA from 1 species